rnacentral:rRNA from 1 species
AGGGGGAAUAGCAGGUUAUGCGUCUCCAUGAGAGAUUACUACUGUUACAUGCUGCAGACACGACCUGGGAUAUUCAAUCCCAUACUCUGUGGACCACGAUUGCUCCAGCAAUGGGGGGACAUGUACAUCAAGAUUGAGAGUUGUAGGUUGAAAUGGUAUAAGAAGAACUAGACAAAGAUCUGUGUCGAACUGUAUAAAGGAGUUGUUGAUGCAAUUACAUCCGGGGAGACCCGGGCAAGCGCUGUUGGAGUAAGGAUAGUGCUCCCUGGAACAUACCCAGGUGGCGACCGCGACAUGAAGCGGAGGCAUAUGGAUGCCAUUGUAACACCCCGAGAAUCAUGCUACAGUAAUCCCCCUCUAAUGAUGCCUUGUCAUCAUUGUUACUGUUGCUAA